rnacentral:lncRNA from 1 species
AUAUGUCAUUAAUAAGAUGAUGAUGUUUAUCGAGUGUAGGUCAUUGUGUGCCAUAUAGGCUAGUUGUCCUCAUAAUCAAAGAAUGUGGAGAUACUGGUAUGGCAUACAGAUUAGAUGUAGGAGUACAUCGUCACUGAAUAAGUGACUCACCUACUGAGCACUCUACUAUCAAAAGUAGCUCGCAAAAUAUAUGGACAUAAGUAUCCCUUGGAUCUGAGAUCAUCAUAAUAACUUGCAAGCAACUCACUGUGCUUUGAUGUCAGAUUAUCUGUAUUUCUAAUGUAAUGACAGAAGGCUACUGGGUAU